CACGUAGGGGGCGAGCGUUGUCCGGAUUUAUUGGGCGUAAAGAGCUCGUAGGCGGUUUCGUAAGUCGGAUGUGAAAACUCCAGGCUCAACUUGGAGACGCCAUUCGAUACUGCGAUGACUUGAGUCCGGUAGGGGAGUGUGGAAUUCCUGGUGUAGCGGUGAAAUGCGCAGAUAUCAGGAGGAACACCGGUGGCGAAGGCGGAUCUCUGGGCCUUACCUGACGCUCAGGCGCGAAAGCUAGGGGAGCGAACAGG
rnacentral:rRNA from 1 species